AUUGAACGCUGGCGGCAGGCCUAACACAUGCAAGUCGAACGAGUGGCGGACGGGUGAGUAAUGUAUGGGAAACUGCCUGAUGGAGGGGGAUAACUACUGGAAACGGUAGCUAAUACCGCAUACCAUCGGAUGUGCCCAUAUGGGAUUAGCUAGUAGGUGGGGUAAAGGCUCACCUAGGCGACGAUCCCUAGCUGGUCUGAGAGGAUGAACGGCCACACUCGAACUGAGAAACGGCUCAUACUCCUACGGGAGGCCGCAGUGGGGAAAUUUGCACAAUGGGCGCAAGCCUGAUGCAGCCAUGCCGCGUGUAUGAAGAAGGCCUUCGGGUUGUAAAGUACUUUCAGCGGGGAGGCGUUACCCGCAGAAGAAGCACCGGCUAACUCCGUGCCAGCAGCCGCGGUAAUUC
rnacentral:rRNA from 1 species